rnacentral:rRNA from 1 species
UACGUAGGGUGCGAGCGUUGUCCGGAAUUACUGGGCGUAAAGAGCUCGUAGGUGGUUUGUCGCGUUGUUCGUGAAAACUCACAACUCAAUUGUGGGCGUGCGGGCGAUACGGGCAGACUGGAGUACUGCAGGGGAGACUGGAAUUCCUGGUGUAGCGGUGGAAUGCGCAGAUAUCAGGAGGAACACCGGUGGCGAAGGCGGGUCUCUGGGCAGAAACUGACGCUGAGGAGCGAAAGCGUGGGGAGCGAACAGG